GACGAACGCUGGCGGCGUGCUUAGCACAUGCAAGUCGAACGGAAAGGCCCUGCUUUUGUGGGGUGCUCGAGUGGCGAACGGGUGAGUAACACGUGAGUAACCUGCCCUUGACUUUGGGAUAACUUCAGGAAACUGGGGCUAAUACCGGAUAGGAGCUCCUGCUGCAUGGUGGGGGUUGGAAAGUUUCGGCGGUUGGGGAUGGACUCGCGGCUUAUCAGCUUGUUGGUGGGGUAGUGGCUUACCAAGGCUUUGACGGGUAGCCGGCCUGGGAGGGUGACCGGCCACAUUGGGACUGAGAUACGGCCCAGACUCCUACGUGAGGCAGCAGUGGGGAAUAUUGCACAAUGGGCCGAAGCCUGAUGCAGCAACGCCGCGUGCGGGAUGACGGCCUUCGGGUUGUAAACCGCUUUCGCCUGUGACGAAGCGUGAGUGACGGUAAUGGGUAAAGAAGCACCGGCUAACUACGUG
rnacentral:rRNA from 1 species